CAGCGAAACUGCGAAUGGCUCAUUAUAUAAGUUAUCGUUUAUUUGAUAGUACCUUACUACUUGGAUAACCGUGGUAAUUCUAGAGCUAAUACAUGCUAAAAAUCCCGACUUCGGAAGGGAUGUAUUUAUUAGAUUAAAAACCAAUGCCCUCUGGGCUCCUUGGUGAUUCAUAAUAACUUUUCGAAUCGCAUGGCCUUGUGCCGGCGAUGGUUCAUUCAAAUUUCUUCCCUAUCAACUUUCGAUGUUUGGGUAUUGGCCAAACAUGGUCGCAACGGGUAACGGAGGGUUAGGGCUCGACCCCGGAGAAGGAGCCUGAGAAACGGCUACUACAUCCAAGGAAGGCAGCAGGCGCGCAAAUUACCCAAUCCCGAUUCGGGGAGGUAGUGACAAUAAAUACUGAUACAGGGCUCUUUUGGGUCUUGUAAUUGGAAUGAGUACAAUUUAAAUCUCUUAACGAGGAACAAUUGGAGGGCAAGUCUGGUGCCAGCAGCCGCGGUAAUUCCAGCUCCAAUAGCGUAUAUUAAAGUUGUUGUGGUUAAAAAGCUCGUAGUUGAACCUUGGGCCUGGCUGGCCGGUCCGCCUCACCGCGUGUACUGGUCCGGCCGGGCCUUUCCCUCUGUGGAACCUCAUGCCCUUCACUGGGUGUGGCGGGGAAACAGGACUUUUACUUUGAAAAAAUUAGAGUGCUCCAGGCAGGCCUAUGCUCGAAUACAUUAGCAUGGAAUAAUAAAAUAGGACGUGUGGUUCUAUUUUGUUGGUUUCUAGGACCGCCGUAAUGAUUAAUAGGGACAGUCGGGGGCAUCAGUAUUCAAUUGUCAGAGGUGAAAUUCUUGGAUUUAUUGAAGACUAACUACUGCGAAAGCAUUUGCCAAGGAUGUUUUCAUUAAUCAGGAACGAAAGUUAGGGGAUCGAAGACGAUCAGAUACCGUCGUAGUCUUAACCAUAAACUAUGCCGACUAGGGAUCGGACGAUGUUAUUUUUUGACGCGUUCGGCACCUUACGAGAAAUCAAAGUG
rnacentral:rRNA from 1 species